AGCAGCCGCGGUAAUCCCAGCUCCAAUAGCGUAUGUUAAAGUUGUUGCAGUUAAAAAGCUCGUAGUUGAAUUUCGGGGUUAGUAGAUUGGUCAUGCCAUCGGUAUGCACUGGUCUCACUGAUUCCUCCUUCCUGAUGAGCCGUAAUGCCAUUAAUUUAGUGUUGCGGGGAAUUUGGACUGUUACUUUGAAAAAUUAGAGUGUUUAAAGUAAGCUAACGCUUGAAUACAUUAGCAUGGAAUAAUGAAAUAGGACGUUCGAUCCUAUUUUGUUGGUUUCUAGGAUUGACGUAAUGAUUAGUAGGGAUAGUUGGGGGCAUUAGUAUUCAAUUGUCAGAGGUGAAAUUCUUGGAUUUAUUGAAGACUAACUACUGCGAAAGCAUUUGCCAAGGAUGUUUUCAUUAAUCAAGAACGAAAGUUAGGGGAUCGAAGACGAUCAGAUACCGUCGUAGUCUUAACCAUAAAC
rnacentral:rRNA from 1 species